AUAACACGUUACAAAAGUUGAGAUGUCCUAGUCAAAAUGUACAUCCAGAACCUUCCCCUUUUUGAUUAAAAAAAAUAAAUUUCCAUAACAGCUGUUAUUUUGCGUACCCUAUUCCCCGUCAACUUCUUUGCCGCCUCAUUCGGUUAUAACUCAUCUUACCGUUAAAUAUCUUAUCUUAAAUCAAUCUCAACCGUCCGAUCCUUCAAAAUUAUCAAUAAAUAAUGACCUCCGCUUUUUCUUUAUGCAUACCAAUUCCUUCCGAGGUUAGCCUCAAUCUUUCUCCAGAUCUCGUCUAGCUGGUUUUUCUUCUUCAAUUUUCGUGUUCAGAUCUCUGUAGAUCGGAGCACGAUCUACGUUUUGAGUAUGGAUUUGCUGUGCUUCUGUGAAGGCUUGGUGGUUGGCCAGCUGAACGGUGCAGCGGUUCGAUGUCCGUUGAAAGAGGUGCUGGUUGAUUAAGAGAUGGUAGAUCUGGUGAUUCUGGGCCUGGUUUGAUGGAGAUGAGGCUAACCGAAGGUGUUGAAUUCGUGAGGAUUCGGCUGUUUGUUUGCAGGAGCGCUUUACUUAUCUGAAUGGAGCCGAGUUGCACGGAUUGUUCAAUUGAUGUCUCGUUGUCAUUGAGCGUCAGAUCUGUGAAGUCUUCAGAGAUUAGAUUCAUGGAGGUUGGCGUUAGAUCUGUGUAGUUUUCUGAGAUUAGAUUCAUGGAGGUUGGAGCUAUAUCUUCAGCAAUCAAGGUGUUGUCUUUGUGAAGAUUCAGCUGAUGUUUGCGUAGAACGGUUUUGACGCAAAUUGAAGGGCUAUUCUCAAUUGUACCGUCUCGUUUUAUGAUGGAACAGUUUGAACCGGUAUUUAUUCAAGUCGUUUGAUGAUCGAGAUCAGCCAUCUUAUGGUGUAUCUAAGGUUAUAUUAGUUUUUAUUUGAUGUCUAUAAUUAAUUGAAUGUCUCAAUUGCGUUAAAUUUUAUUUAUGCAUGCAUAUGUACGAGAGGAUAAAAGAUUUGAGCGAUGUGAGGGGUAUGAGGGGAAAAAUUGAGAUUUAUUGUUCAUGUUAGCAGGCCUUUGCCAUGUUGGGUGCGCUCGCAUGGCAGGUCAAAAGUACCUAAUAAAAAUAUGAUUUUUUGGUGUUUGGAGGGGAGAGGCACGGGGGUUUAUUUUUUACCCGGCUCUCCUCUCUCUGUGUGGGGUCUCUGUCCUUUUUAUUUUCCUGCUUUUUCAUUGUUCCUGCAUCCAAAAAACUGCAUCGAUACGGGGGUUACUUGUUAUGAAUUGGUCAAGGCAAUUAACCCACGUUAAUUUGCUUAACACGGCGAUGGACAAUGCAACGUAUCGUCUGCAGCACUCCACUAAAGGUACUAAUUUAAUUUAGUUGACAAAAUUUACUCAAUUUUCAUAAACAGCUACCAUAUAUGAAUUACUUGCUCUAAAUUUCAAUUAGGCACUAAUUGACCUUAACUGAUACAAAAUUCUUCUGACUAAAUUUAAUUUCAAUUAGGCACUAUUUAGACCUUAACUUUUCAGUUAUACCUUCACUGAUACAAAAUUCUUGUAACGAAAUUUUAUUAUUCUUUCUCAACUAUGAAUUGCUAAAAGGUACUUUACAUUUUUUUCUCAUCUCAAAUUUGAAUCAGACUAAUUGAUAAAAAUUUUAUGAUCGUCUCAACUAUGAAUUGCUAAAAGAUAUAUUUUUUCUUCAUCUCAAAGAGCCUACACCAUCCAAUGGAAGAUGCUCCAAACUAUUGGAAAAAUAAUUUGGCAUAUAUAUUUGCUGGAAAAUUAAGCCUCUUACGAGAUUUGUCAUGAAUUUUAACCUGUUUAUCCAGAAUAUUAAAAUUUGUGGUGAGACUAAUUGUGAAAAAAUUGUUUAAUUAAUCUAGUAAGUAGGGUAAUUGUGAGCUGUGGCUUUUGUAAAAUUGGUUCUAAUUCUAAGACUCUUCUCACAACUUCGGCUCUUUCCAGAACAUCGUCACUUAGCUUUAUAAUAUGAAUGAAUAGACGAUGCGGCUUCUGUUUUAUAUAUAUAUAUGUUUUCUAUUAGUUUGGACAUGCAGUUUCUCCUCUUGGGGUGUGUGUGUGUGUGUGUGUAUAUAUAUAUAAAUUCGCGUUGAUAUAUUUUGCAAUUAGUACAGUUCUUAGUUGUACAUGGGUAUGAUGUUUUAAUCGGACUUGUGGUAAGGAUGUUUAAGUGUGCUGAAGAGCCUUGCUCUCUAUUCAGUUAAAUGUAAUUCUUCCACCAAGUUGGAAUUGUUAUAGCCCCCUUAUUUUGUAGCCCUUUUGGGAGGGUACUUGUUUUAGUCAGGUUGGAUUUGGUCUAGAAAACCAUUCAAUGUACCAGCUAGAUCUGUCAUGUAGCUGAUGAUGAAGGGUUCUGCUUUACAAAACCUCGGAGGAGCAUUUUUGCAAAUGGUUAGUUUAAGUCCUUGCCGAUGUUGAAGCUUUUGUAGCUCUUCUGCUGCUGCUGCUGCUGCUGCUGCUGCUGGAGACUUGAUAGCGAUAUGGAUUUCAUUACCAUAUGCUUUGCUGCUGCUGUUGAGGUUGAAUAUCUGUAACCUCGUGGUUUGCUGCUGCUGGAGUUGAAGAUUUGAUAGCCUCAUGGUUAACUGCUGCUGCUAUGGACAUGGUUUAGCUUCUGUUGUUUGCUGCUGCUGUUGGAGUGGUUCUAUAAGGUUCCUGCUGUCAUUCAAGUUAAAGAUUUAGUAGGCUCAUGGUUUCCCUCUCAUCUGUUGUAAAUGAGGGUUGGAUAGCCUUAACAGGUGCUGCCUUGUUUGUGUGCGAAAUGGACGCGCACUCAUUUUUCACUGCUUUGAGUAUAUCUCCUCACACAGAGGAGAAUUGAUAGCCUCCUCAAUGUUAACCAACAUCUCUACAGUGAUUGGGUUAUACAUGCGAUUACUUUCCGAUGAUCCGUUACCGUCAUGUUGUUUGAGGAUUUUCCAGUAUUUCAUUGUGCGCCAGCUCCUUUUAAUGGAUGAGGUCUUGUAUUUGUUACUCUCAUCGAUAAAAAUUGCCGUGGAUAGUUGGAUCUCCUGACCGAGGCUUUGUUAUGGUUUAUGGUAUCCCCUCUUGGACUUGCUGUUUAUCAACUGAGUGGAUUGUACAUUACAAUUAAUAACAGUUUUACGAAGGCUGAUGGUGCGUUUAAUUUUCUACUGCAUCAGUUCCGCUCUCGGCCUUGUUUAUUGGACAGAUAUUUUCAGUUUUAUUUACUAGCCUAUGGAAAAUACAUUACACUGUUAAUUCCCCUGCCUGGUAAUAUUUUAAAUUGGUCGUGUACUUGCUACUCUCAAGUAGUAUUGGCAAGUGGUGAAAUUAUAUUGGGAUGCAUUCAUCUCAAAUGGCCGUGUGUACUUAAUACUAAUUAUUAAGUACUGCCAAGUGGGAAUGUUGUUGCAGUUGAGCGUUCAUAUCAAACAUUAGCGUUUGGAUGUUAUGGUUGUGUUGAUUAAUGUCGUACUGUAUUAAUUUACUUAUCUAGUGGUUAUUUUAGGUAAAUAAUUUUUUUGUGUCUUCGGUGUGAAGAUGUCAUGAUAGCUUUACUAAUAUUUUGAAACUUCCUUUACAAAUGAAUUCGUAUUUUUACCUGA